rnacentral:rRNA from 1 species
AUAAGCGCUGGAAACGGCGUCUAAUACUGGAUAUGAGCUGCGGCCGCAUGGUCGGCAGUUGGAAAGAUUUUUCGGUCAAGGAUGAGCUCGCGGCCUAUCAGCUUGUUGGUGAGGUAAUGGCUCACCAAGGCGUCGACGGGUAGCCGGCCUGAGAGGGUGACCGGCCACACUGGGACUGAGACACGGCCCAGACUCCUACGGGAGGCAGCAGUGGGGAAUAUUGCACAAUGGGCGGAAGCCUGAUGCAGCAACGCCGCGUGAGGGAUGACGGCCUUCGGGUUGUAAACCUCUUUUAGCAGGGAAGAAGCGUGAGUGACGGUACCUGCAGAAAAAGCACCGGCUAACUACGUGCCAGCAGCCGCGGUAAUACGUAGGGUGCAAGCGUUAUCCGGAAUUAUUGGGCGUAAAGAGCUCGUAGGCGGUUUGUCGCGUCUGCUGUGAAAUCCCGAGGCUCAACCUCGGGUCUGCAGUGGGUACGGGCAGACUAGAGUGCGGUAGGGGAGAUUGGAAUUCCUGGUGUAGCGGUGGAAUGCGCAGAUAUCAGGAGGAACACCGAUGGCGAAGGCAGAUCUCUGGGCCGUAACUGACGCUGAGGAGCGAAAGGGUGGGGAGCAAACAGGCUUAGAUACCCUGGUAGUCCACCCCGU